rnacentral:rRNA from 2 species
UACGUAGGGUGCGAGCGUUGUCCGGAAUUACUGGGCGUAAAGAGCUCGUAGGUGGUUUGUCGCGUCGUCUGUGAAAUUCCGGGGCUUAACUUCGGGCGUGCAGGCGAUACGGGCAUAACUUGAGUGCUGUAGGGGAGACUGGAAUUCCUGGUGUAGCGGUGGAAUGCGCAGAUAUCAGGAGGAACACCGAUGGCGAAGGCAGGUCUCUGGGCAGUAACUGACGCUGAGGAGCGAAAGCAUGGGGAGCGAACAGG